rnacentral:misc_RNA from 1 species
GUAGGUGAACCUGCGGAAGGAUCAUUAACACGUAUCCACGUAUCCAAACCAUAACUCUGUGAACAUAAUCUCCCCUAUACUCCAAUGUCACUGUUCUAUGUAAUUAGUGGUGGGUGUGCUGACUAUUGGGUCAAACCAAUAGGUGGUACAGAAUUACAUCGAACUUGGGUUCAAUCUCGCAGUGACGUGAGUCUAGGCUUUUGUCUUGUUCAUUGCUAUUGCCUACUAAUUCGUUAGCUGGUGAUAGUACUGUCAAGAUUUUUUUACCUCAUUUCCAUCACUAUGAUCAAACAAACUAUUUUCACCUUUUGAAACAUUUUGACUGAUGUACUCAAUGUAAGAGAAAUCUGGCACUGAGUGUUUGUAUCUAAACUAAGCACAACUCUUAGCAAUGGAUAUCUUGGUUCUC